rnacentral:rRNA from 1 species
CCUACGGGUGGCUGCAGUAGGGAAUUUUCCACAAUGGACGAAAGUCUGAUGGAGCAACGCCGCGUGUGUGAUGAAGGGUUUCGGCUCGUAAAACACUGUUGUAAGAGAAGAAUGACAUUGAGAGUAACUGUUCAGUGUGUGACGGUAUCUUACCGAAAAGGAAGGCUCAAUAACUGGCAGGAUGCCCGGGAAUACCGAUGUUCCAAGGCGUAACCGGAUUUAUUGGGCGUAAAGCGAUCGGAGACGGUUAUUUAAGUCCGAAGUGAAAGCCCACAGCUUAACUGUGGAAGUGCUUUGGAAACUGGAUAACUUGAGUGCAGUAGAGGAGAGUGGAACUCCAGGUGUAGCGGUGAAAUGCGUAGAUAUAUGGAAGAACACCAGUGGCGAAGGCGGCUCUCUGGACUGUAACUGACGUUGAGGCUCGAAAGUGUGGGUAACAAACAGGAUUAGAUACCCUAGUAGUC